rnacentral:rRNA from 1 species
UACGUAGGGUGCAGGCGUUAAUCGGAAUUACUGGGCGUAAAGCGUGCGUAGGCGGUUUGUUAAGACAGGUGUGAAAUCCCCGGGCUUAACCUGGGAACUGCGCUUGUUACUGGCAGACUGGAGUGUGGCAGAGGGGGGUGGAAUUCCAGGUGUAGCAGUGAAAUGCGUAGAUAUCUGGAGGAACACCGAUGGCGAAGGCAGCCCCCUGGGCUAACACUGACGCUGGAUGCACGAAAGCGUGGGGAGCAAACAGG